rfam:Gossypium hirsutum cultivar TM-1 chromosome 5, whole genome shotgun sequence
UAUUAAAAUUUCAUCCAUUUAUACGGUUACAAACUAACGUUGUUGAUGGAAUAACCACGACAUGUCACGUGUACAUUAUGCUGACGUACAUGGACCAAUUUUUAACAGUAAAAAUAGAUGAAAUUUUUAAUA